UAGUGGCGCACGGGUGCGUAACGCGUGGGAAUCUGCCCUUGGGUUCGGAAUAACUUCUGGAAACGGAAGCUAAUACCGGAUGAUGACGUAAGUCCAAAGAUUUAUCGCCCAAGGAUGAGCCCGCGUAGGAUUAGCUAGUUGGUGAGGUAAAGGCUCACCAAGGCGACGAUCCUUAGCUGGUCUGAGAGGAUGAUCAGCCACACUGGGACUGAGACACGGCCCAGACUCCUACGGGAGGCAGCAGUAGGGAAUAUUGGACAAUGGGGGAAACCCUGAUCCAGCAAUGCCGCGUGAGUGAUGAAGGCCUUAGGGUUGUAAAGCUCUUUUACCCGGGAUGAUAAUGACAGUACCGGGAGAAUAAGCUCCGGCUAACUCCGUGCCAGCAGCCGCGGUAAUACGGAGGGAGCUAGCGUUGUUCGGAAUUACUGGGCGUAAAGCGCACGUAAGCGGAUAUUCAAGUCAGAGGUGAAAGCCCGGGGCUCAANCCCCGGAACUGCCUUUGAAACUAGAUAGCUUGAAUCCAGGAGAGGUGAGUGGAAUUCCGAGUGUAGAGGUGAAAUUCGUAGAUAUUCGGAAGAACACCAGUGGCGAAGGCGGCUCACUGGACUGG
rnacentral:rRNA from 1 species